rnacentral:rRNA from 1 species
CUACGGGCGGCUGCAGUGGGGAAUAUUGCACAAUGGGCGCAAGCCUGAUGCAGCAACGCCGCGUGAGUGAAGAAGGCCUUCGGGUCGUAAAACUCUGUCCUAAGGGAAGAAUAAUGACGGUACCUUAGGAGGAAGCCCCGGCUAACUACGUGCCAGCAGCCGCGGUAAUACGUAGGGGGCAAGCGUUAUCCGGAAUCACUGGGCGUAAAGGGUGCGUAGGCGGCCUGUCAAGUCAGAAGUGAAAGGCUAUGGCUCAACCAUAGUAAGCUUUUGAAACUGAUGGGCUUGAAUACAGGAGAGGUAAGUGGAAUUCCUAGUGUAGCGGUGAAAUGCGUAGAGAUUAGGAGGAACACCAGUGGCGAAGGCGACUUACUGGACUGUUAUUGACGCUGAGGCACGAAAGCGUGGGGAGCGAACAGGAUUAGAUACCCGGGUAGUC